AUUUGUAACAUUUUGCUGUUGAUCUCAUGGGGGCAGAAAGAGGAACGUAGAUCAGGAACAGACGUGGCAGAUCUGAAGAUUAGAGAUGAAAUCUGAACCAGCAGCAGCUGCUCAUGUUCCCCCAGCCGGUUAAAGCAAGAGAACAUCACUGUGGGCCACGAAUACAAAAACAGGACAACUCUGAAUUCAAGAGGUUAAAAAUGCCGUCCAACAAAGGUCCAAAACCCGGCGGCACAGCAGAGCGGAAAGCCAGAACUCAGCACUGGUGGAAACAGGUCGAACAUUGGACAGAAGAGACGGACCGGCUCCACUAACCUGUGACACUCGACUGACUUCAACAGACACUAAAUACACGGGAGUGUCCCUUAUGAAAGCAGGCUGACAGGAAAGGGGGAAGA